UCCGGCUUGUCACCGGCAGUUCCUCCAGAGUUCCCGCCAUUACGCGCUGGCAACUAAGGACAAGGGUUGCGCUCGUUACGGGACUUAACCCAACAUCUCACGACACGAGCUGACGACAGCCAUGCAGCACCUGUCACUUGGCUCCCGAAGGCACCAAAGCAUCUCUGCUAAGUUCCAAGGAUGUCAAGGCCUGGUAAGGUUCUUCGCGUUGCGUCGAAUUAAACCACAUGCUCCACCGCUUGUGCGGGCCCCCGUCAAUUCCUUUGAGUUUCAGCCUUGCGGCCGUACUCCCCAGGCGGGGCACUUAAUGCGUUAGCUGCGACACCGAAGGGGUCGUCCCACCGGCAUCUAGUGCCCAUCGUUUACGGCGUGGACUAC
rnacentral:misc_RNA from 1 species